ACGCUCGACACCUACGGGGGCAGCAGUAGGGAAUCUUCCACAAUGGACGCAAGUCUGAUGGAGCAACGCCGCGUGAGUGAAGAAGGUCUUCGGAUCGUAAAACUCUGUUGUUAGAGAAGAACACGAGUGAGAGUAACUGUUCAUUCGAUGACGGUAUCUAACCAGCAAGUCACGGCUAACUACGUACCAGCAGCCGCGGUAAUCUGAGCGGGCUGGCAAGGC
rnacentral:rRNA from 1 species